rnacentral:rRNA from 1 species
CGGGGAAUAUUGCGCAAUGGGCGAAAGCCUGACGCAGCAACGCCGCGUGAGGGAUGAAGGCUCUCGGGUUGUAAACCUCUUUCAGCAGGGACGAUUGUGACGGUACCUGCAGAAGAAGCCCCGGCCAACUACGUGCCAGCAGCCGCGGUAACACGUAGGGGGCAAGCGUUGUCCGGAUUUAUUGGGCGUAAAGAGCUCGUAGGUGGUUCGGUAAGUCGGGUGUGAAAACUCUGGGCACAACUCAGAGACGCCACCCGAUACUGCCGUGACUAGAGUCUGGUAGGGGAGUGUGGAAUUCCUAGUGUAGCGGUGAAAUGCGCAGAUAUUAGGAGGAACACCAGUGGCGAAGGCGGCACUCUGGGCCAGUACUGACACUGAGGAGCGAAAGCGUGGGUAGCGAACAG